rnacentral:rRNA from 1 species
AUUGAACGCUGGCGGCAGGCCUAACACAUGCAAGUCGAACGGCAGCACAGAAGAGCUUGCUCUUUGGGUGGCGAGUGGCGGACGGGUGAGUAACACGUAGGAAUCUACCCAGUAGUGGGGGAUAACCUGGGGGAAACCCAGGCUAAUACCGCAUACGCCCUGAGGGGGAAAGCGGGGGAUCUUCGGACCUCGCGCUAUUGGAUGAGCCUGCGUCGGAUUAGCUAGUUGGUGGGGUAAGGGCCCACCAAGGCGACGAUCCGUAGCUGGUCUGAGAGGAUGACCAGUCACACCGGAACUGAGACACGGUCCGGACUCCUACGGGAGGCAGCAGUGGGGAAUAUUGGACAAUGGGCGCAAGCCUGAUCCAGCCAUGCCGCGUGGGUGAAGAAGGCCUCGGUGUAAGCCUUAGUGGGUAGGAAGGACGAUUCAUGCUAAUACCAUGGAUGAUUGACGUUACCACACGAAUAAGACACCGGCUAAC